CACGGGUGAGUAAUGUAUAGGUAAUAUGCCUCUUACUAAGGGAUAACAGUUGGAAACGACUGCUAAUACCUUAUAUUCCUUUUAUGCAUAAGUAUAAAAGGGAAAGAUUUAUUGGUAAGAGAUUAGCUUGUAUUGUAUCAGUUAGUUGGUGAGGUAAUGGCUCACCAAGACAAUGACGCAUAACUGGUUUGAGAGGAUGAUCAGUCACACUGGAACUGAGACACGGUCCAGACUCCUACGGGAGGCAGCAGUGGGGAAUAUUGCACAAUGGACGGAAGUCUGAUGCAGCAACGCCGCGUGGAGGAUGACACAUUUCGGUGCGUAAACUCCUUUUAUAUGAGAAGAUAAUGACGGUAUUAUAUGAAUAAGCACCGGCCUAACUCCGUGCCAGCAGCCGCGGUAAUACGGGGGGUGCAAGCGUUACUCGGAAUCACUGGGCGUACAGAGCAUAUAGGCGGAUUGAUAAGUUGGAAGUGUAAUCGUAUAGCUUAACUAUAGAACUGUUUUGAAAACUGUUAAUGUAGCAUGUGGGAGAGGUAGAUGGAAUUUCUGGGUACGGGCUCAAUCAGUAGAUAUCAGACAGGAAUACCUGAUUGCGAAGGCGAUCUAAUGGAACACUAUUGACGUUGAGAUGCGAAAGCCUGGGGAGCAUACAGGAUUAGAUACCUUGGUAGUCCACGCCCUUAACGAUGUACAUUAGUUGUUGUGAGGUUAGACGUUGCAGUGAUGCAGUUCACACAUUAAGUGUACCGCCUGGAGAGUACGGUCGCAAGAUUAAAACUCAAAGCAAUUGGCGCGAACCCGAGACG
rnacentral:rRNA from 1 species